UUCAGUUGAUUUCUGAGGUGCUCACUCAGCUAAUAGUUAUUGUUUAAGAAACUCAAUAAUAUUGGCAGCAAGGAGAAUGGUGACUUUCAGGAUGAUAACUAUUGGCUGAGUGAGCAUCACUGAAAUCGACAUGAU
rfam:Solanum lycopersicum cultivar Heinz 1706 chromosome 12, whole genome shotgun sequence.